UCUUUCUCCCUCAGCUGGAGGAAGCAUGGCAGUGAGCCAAGGAGACGAGACCCUCUGCUUUGUCCUCCUGCUGUGCUGCUGGCAAGAAGUGAAGACCUGGCCAAUAAGAAUGAAUUCAGAUGAAAUUCUAGUCCAGGAGAUUUUGCAUCUGAAUAAAACAACACCGACCAAAAUGCCAAGUACAGCAUCAACAUUAUCAACAACAAUAUGAGAUCAUCUAAAGCAGAAGAGAAAGCUGCAUGAAAGUGUACUGAGAGCCAGUUACCACAGGGGGAUGCCACGCCCAGGCUAGGACUAGGGCCACGGGCAGAGCCUGCACUCACUACUCACUCCCACCCUUGGGAGCGGAAACCAAAUUAUGGAACAUUCUGUAUAAAGGAAAACUGUCUUAUUCUAAGGAUGACAAAUAAAAUAAACAUAUUUAAAUAUUAA